CCAGCUUGCGGUCGCCCUCAAUGGACUUGAAGUCGUUCACGAUGGCAAUGCCCAGGCCGGCAAUCGAGUACAUCAGGGUGAUGGCGACGAUCUCGGGUGUGAGGGUGUCCGAAUCAAAGACGGCCA
rnacentral:snRNA from 10 species